UUGAAUUGAAGAGUUUGAUCAUGGCUCAGAUUGAACGCUGGCGGCAGGCUUAACACAUGCAAGUCGAACGGUAGCAGGAGAAAGCUUGCUUUCUUGCUGACGAGUGGCGGACGGGUGAGUAAUGCUUGGGAAUCUGGCUUAUGGAGGGGGAUAACGACGGGAAACUGUCGCUAAUACCGCGUAAUAUCGAAAGAUUAAAGUGUGGGACCUUCGGGCCACAUGCCAUAGGAUGAGCCCAAGUGGGAUUAGGUAGUUGGUGGGGUAAAAGCCUACCAAGCCUGCGAUCUCUAGCUGGUCUGAGAGGAUGACCAGCCACACUGGAACUGAGACACGGUCCAGACUCCUACGGGAGGCAGCAGUGGGGAAUAUUGCGCAAUGGGGGGAACCCUGACGC
rnacentral:rRNA from 1 species